UACGUAGGGGGCGAGCGUUGUCCGGAUUUAUUGGGCGUAAAACGCUUGUAGGCGGCCACCGCGCGUCGGACGUGAAAUCUCCCGGCUCAACUGGGAGGGGUCGUGCGAUACGGCGGGGCUCGAGGCCGGUAGGGGGACGCGGAAUUCCCGGUGUAGUGGUGGAAUGCGUAGAUAUCGGGAGGAACACCGAUGGCGAAGGCGGUUCUCUGGGACGGUACUGACGCUGAGACGCGAAAGCGUGGGGAGCGAACAGG
rnacentral:rRNA from 1 species